UACGGGGGGGGCAAGCGUUGUUCGGAAUUACUGGGCGUAAAGGGCGCGUAGGCGGCCUGCUAAGUCGGAUGUGAAAUCCCUCGGCUCAACCGAGGAACUGCAUCCGAUACUGGCGGGCUUGAAUCCGGGAGAGGGAUGUGGAAUUCCAGGUGUAGCGGUGAAAUGCGUAGAUAUCUGGAGGAACACCGGUGGCGAAGGCGCACAUCUGGCCCGAUACUGACGCUGAGGCGCGAAAGCUAGGGGAGCAAACGGG
rnacentral:rRNA from 1 species